AAUUUCUUUCUCUUUACACAGUCGGAGGUGGCUCCGGCAUGGCGGCAGACGGCGGUUGGCUCCCUCUCCCGGCGACUAGUUCUUCUUCUCUAGCGAGGGGCUGGCGCCCAGGGUUAGGGUUCGAUGUAAAGUGAGGUAUUUAUAUUUAUCUCCCUUUAAUCUGGACUGUCUAUCACGUUUAAAUAUAAAAUGAAUCUGCACCGUACGGUUGCGCCUAAUGAGGAAACGGAUUCGGACCGUCCACGCGCGUGGGAAAAAUCCUGACCGACCGAUCGCAACACGCGGAUUGCCAGCGUGGCCUCCUGCGUAGCACCGGGUCAACGUGGCUUGCCAUAUGGCGCACUCCGGUUCAUCGGGGCUGCUGACUGGGCAGUCCUAUGUGGCACAUUUUUUUCAAAUGCGUUUUGACUCCCAAUUCCUGAUUUUUCUUUUAAAAACACCCAUAUAACCCAAAUUUUCACCACUUU
rnacentral:lncRNA from 1 species